GAGCAUUGUUCUUUCAGGUUCGCUAUUUCCAAGUCCCGGGAAAGAAAAUCCCCACAGGUGGCGCCCGAACAGGGACUUGAUAGGAAGACUGAACAAAGCAGUGAGCCCUGCAGAAAGAGAUGGAGAAGAAAUCUUGGUUCCACUUUGCCAUGUCUAUUACUGAGAAGAACCAUGAGACUGGACUCCCCCAACAGGUGACGCAGCUGACACGAAGGGUCUCAUCAAUGACCACAGAGGAGCCGAAGAGAAAACGUCAAUGUCUGAACCCCUACCCGACAUGGGCUCAGGUGAAAAACAUGACUCAUCAGGCUGAAUAAACACUGAAAGUUACUGGAACUCCCAUGACUCCAGAUAAGCUGUUUGUGGCAAUGCUAGCUAUUCUCUCUUGUUCCUCUGGGGAUACAGACAUCUCUACUCAAGACUCCGUGCCUCCCACAAAGGAGUCCAGUUAGCAGCUGCCGUGCUUAAACUAAAAACAAAAAGAGGAUAUGUUGGGAGGCACAGUGCAGAAUAGCCUUGAAGGAGAAUGUCCUCAGGGAAAUGGCAAAGGGCCAGAAUUACCCAGGCAUUGUGUACUGAUAGCUGAAAAACAUUUCCUGCCUUUGGCUAUGCUCAGAGCCAAAAUUUAGUGAUUAAACAUUAAAGACGUUGCUUGAGAAAAUGGGUCAUGGAUAAACACAUGGGUCGUUAAGAAGGCACUGGUCCUUGAAGUAUCUUUUACUGAUUAUAUCUUAGCCUUGUACGUGCCCUGCUGGCCAUAUGUUCUAAGCUCUUUGUUCCUUGCUCC
ensembl:lncRNA